ACGAACGCUGGCGGCGUGCUUAACACAUGCAAGUCGAGCGACAGUGUUCUUCGGGACAUAUGGAGCGGCGAACGGGUGAGUAACACGUGGGCAACCUGCCCUCAGCUCUGGGAUAACUCCGGGAAACCGGGGCUAAUACCGGAUAUGACCUUGUGCCUCAUGGUGCUUGGUGGAAAGUUCUUCGGCUGAGGAUGGGCCCGCGGCCUAUCAGCUUGUUGGUGGGGUAAUGGCCUACCAAGGCGACGACGGGUAGCCGGCCUGAGAGGGCGACCGGCCACACUGGGACUGAGACACGGCCCAGACUCCUACGGGAGGCAGCAGUGGGGAAUAUUGCGCAAUGGGCGGAAGCCUGACGCAGCGACGCCGCGUGAGGGAUGAAGGCCUUCGGGUUGUAAACCUCUUUCAGCAGGGACGAAGCGCAAGUGACGGUACCUGCAGAAGAAGCACCGGCCAACUACGU
rnacentral:rRNA from 1 species